rnacentral:rRNA from 1 species
AUUGAACGCUGGCGGCAUGCCUUACACAUGCAAGUCGAACGGCAGCAUGGAGAGCUUGCUCUCUGAUGGCGAGUGGCGAACGGGUGAGUAAAGCAUCGGAACGUACCGUGUAGUGGGGGAUAACGUAGCGAAAGUUACGCUAAUACCGCAUACGCACUGAGGUGGAAAGCAGGGGAUCGUAAGACCUUGCGCUAUACGAGCGGCCGAUGUCAGAUUAGCUAGUUGGUAGGGUAAAGGCCUACCAAGGCGACGAUCUGUAGCGGGUCUGAGAGGAUGAUCCGCCACACUGGGACUGAGACACGGCCCAGACUCCUACGGGAGGCAGCAGUGGGGAAUUUUGGACAAUGGGGGCAACCCUGAUCCAGCCAUGCCGCGUGAGUGAAGAAGGCCUUCGGGUUGUGAAGCUCUUUCGGCCGGGAAGAAAUCGCACAGGCUAACACCCUGUGUGGAUGACGGUACCGGCAUAAGAAGCACCGGCUAACUACGUGCCAGCCGCCGCAGUAA